GGCUGGGGAGGGAGGAGGGGAGGGGGCGGGACCGAGCGCGCCGGAAGAAGCGGGUUCGGCGCCGUGACUGACAGCUCGGAGCCCGGGCGGGGGCCGCGGUCGGGAUUCCGACGUUGGUUCCCCGCGGUGCGCUUAGACUUGGCGGGCCCGGGGUCAGUGCGAGUCAGGCUGGAGGAACGCCACUGCGGACGCCGGGAAGCCGGGGGAGCUGAGGGUCUAGAGGCCAGGGCUACUUUCCGUGGAACGAGCCCCGCCUGCCUCUGCAGCCCGCUCUGUGCCCAGAAGCCCCGCAGCCCCGAGAGGGAAACCGCGAAGCCAGGGAGGGGGAGUGACGACGGCCCCAACACUGCGAGACGCGCGCGACUGCGGGGGCAGACCCCACUUUGAAGAGUGGACUCCGCCCCUGGGUAACGUCAUUUCCGGGGCUGGCCCGGAGAAGGGCCCGGAUGUGCUGCGCUCCGCCCCCUCAUCCCCCACUCCCAGACUUCCCCCCCUCCCCUCUCCAUGAUCGCCGGUGGUGGUGGUGGUCCCCGGUCGUUUGCGCCUCGCGGUGAUCUCUUUUCCCAGACUCUGUGCAACCGGCGCUGGCCUCCAGAGUCUCUGCCGUGCUCUCCCCUCCGCCGUCCGCGCGCUCGCCCCCUUGCUCCUCCAGAGGCCGCAGCUCCGUGAGCGCGGGCGGCGGGGCGUGAGCGGUGCCUUCGCCGCCAUCUUAGGGAGUGAGAACCGUGCCCGGUCCGGCUCGGCGCGGCGGGGCCUUUCCUGUGGAACCGAGAGGCAAAGUUAUCACCCUGCAGGACCGGGAGCAAGUGCCAAUGGGAAGGCGAUUUGUGCCUCCCAGGGACGAGGGUCCAUACUGGGCUGGGCUUCCAGGGAGACCCUUGCAUGGUCCUGAAGAUGCUCAACACCCUCCCCCACUCCUCCCGAGAGUUGACGGGCUGCGUUUGAGCUAGACCCAGGACCCUAUUGCUGGUAUCCGGUUUCCUAACAGGCCAGGCUAGCUACGGGUCUUGAGCUGUUUCUGACCGUUUUUGAGACAGGAAUGGCUUCCGUCCAUGAAGAACAUGAUUAGCACACAACCUGGUACCUCAAACUCCGGUUGAUAAGGCACAGCUUCUAAUAGCUCAUGGUUCAAGCAUAUUCGUCCAAUUCUCACACUGGAGUCCAGCAGGCACGUGCCCCUGGGCUCGCCAAUACCUCAAAGCUCCAACAUUUGCAGCUAAGCAGCUUAUCCAAGACAAUAACAUAUUGGAAGUCGAGCCUUAAGAAGUCAGUUCUCUUGAGGCUUAAUUUUUGCACCUGCAAAUAAGGGAUUUGGGCAGGCAUGAGUUCACUGUUAAAAUAAGACUGAUCUCUUUUUCUGUGCCCCAGACAUUGUGCUAAGUGUUUUACAUAUAUUAUCUCACUUAAUCCUGACACCUGUUCUAUCGGAUACAUAAUAUUCUCAUUUUAGGGAAAACAAGCCGUCACUUUAUCUUUCCUCUCCGUGCCAUGAAAUACCAGAGACCUGAGAAGAAUAUAACAUUACCUGAGUAAACAGGAAGUUCCAAACAAACAACUUCCAAAACUACUGAAACAACAGAGACAACUGGUGGCCUGGACAAUCAUCUAAGGUUUCUCUGCAAUAUUGGGCAUCCAUCCUCAGCCAAUGGGCCGAUAAUAUCUGAUGAACUUUUCUGUGAAACAGGAAUUUUGAAGGACCUCCUACAUUGUCUUGGCAACAUUCAGCAGUCACUUACUGAUUGUGUCCCAUUUGUCCAGUUUGGGCAGCAUACUGCCAGCAUUUUAGGGAAAGGCAAUUUCUUGCCUAAUGGCUAACUUUGCCACAACAAAUGCAAAUUCUGUAUGGAAGUUCGUUGAUGCCAAUCAUCCUUUUUUGAAGUGAGCUGGUACCUCCAGGACCAGACAUGUCUCACUGUCAUGAAUAGACUUAGGUUAUUAAAGCAUCCUAAAUAUUC